CAGACGGGUGAGUAACGCGUGGGGAACCUGCCCUGUACCGGGGGAUAGCAGCCGGAAACGGCUGAUAAUACCGCAUAAGCGCACGAAUGUCGCAUGACAUGGUGUGAAAAACUCCGGUGGUAUAGGAUGGACCCGCGUCUGAUUAGCCGGUUGGUGGGGUAAAAGCCUACCAAAGCGAAGAUCAGUAGCCGAGUUGAGAGACUGACCGGCCACAUUGGGACUGAGACACGGCCCAGACUCCUACGGGAGGCAGCAGUC
rnacentral:rRNA from 1 species